CCUCAUUCUGACUUUAUUUAUUAAUUUGCUGCACACAAAGUUCCUGAUGAGUUCACCCAGUAAUUUUAUCACAACUGCUCUUGGGGAUGAUCUUUCCUAGAACGUAAUUUAACUCAGGGGGUUUAUAAUUGGGCUAUGGGCCAAAAUACAUGGGGAAAAAAUAUCUCACCAGGAUGCCUGAAGAUCCUUGGUUCAAAUAUUUUGGCAAUCCAGUGCUCGGCAGAGGAAUUCAACACAAUUUUUUGAGUCCUCUUUCUUGGUUGCUUCCUUUCUUAAGCAAUGAGUUCACACGUUGGUCUGGGAGUGUGCUUCAGAGAAGAGUCCUCGGAUUCCAGUUAAGCUUUAUGGAAGAGUGAGUCUGGUUGCCACCUUUAUGUCUGAGGCUUUAGUUCACACUCCUUUGGCUUAUUUCUAA
rnacentral:lncRNA from 1 species